GUGUUCAUUUUGGCAGCACAUAUACUAAAAUUGUGAAUGAUACAAAGAAGAUUAGCAUUGUCCCUGCAGAAGGAUGACACACAAAUUCGUGAAGUGUUCCAUAUUUUG
ensembl:snRNA U6 U6 spliceosomal RNA